CAUUUUUUUCCAUUCCUCUAGCACCCAUAUGCAAGAUCUUCAGGAGGUGACCCAAGAUCUUCACUAUGAGAACUUCCGUUCUGAGCGGCUCAAGCGAGGCGGCAGGAAAAUAGAAGAUGAAGAAGUAAAUAAAGACCAGAUUCUGCUCGAAAAAGAAGCUGAACUUCGUCGCAUGCAGGAGAUGAUUGCGAGAAUGCAGGCGCAGAUGCAGAUGCAAAUGCAAGGUGGAGAAGGGGAAAGCAGUGCAGUUCAAGGACACAAUGUAUAAAGCUUUUGAUUACAUUAUACUCUGGCUUAAAGGAGUCAUUCUGGAGUUGAAUUAUGGUGGCAUUAUGCCAGAAGGAAUGCCUUGUGUUCAACGUGUGACUUGGAGAUUAUUUUGGAGUUUAACAUGGAAAUGCAUUGUGGUAACUCUUGUGAUAUGUAUUUCAUAACACAUAGUCAGUAUUUUAUAUAUUAUACACCCUUGGCAUUGUUUUUGCUUAGUAGUUCUUAUAUUAAGCUUAUCUUCAGUUUCCCAUUGUAAUAGGGAUACAAAAUAGUCAUCAAAACUUUUCUUGCCUGACAUGGUGUUAGAUGACUUUCUUUGAUAUUAACUCCCUGUUUUUAAUUUUGUGUUAUGUUUAAGAUUAAGCAGCUGUUAGUGGUAUCCUGUUCAGUAGUGUGUAAUAGUCACUCAUUAGGGAGCCCUGCAAGGUUAGUUUUAAACUUUUGCAGUGUUUUCAGGUAUGUGUCUGUGAGACCUUAGCCCUUCCUCCGUCUCUGCUCAGUGCAGGUUUCCUUGGUCUCUGCAAGUAUCUAAUUAAACUCCAGGCAUGCCUUGUGUCUUAAUGAAAGAACUAAAAGGCAGUACUUCUUUAAGGGCACACUCCAUUUUAUAUGACAGGUGUUGUGUCCUUCAGAUUUAACCCUGAAGGACAGAUGUUCUUUUACUGUUUGCCUAAAAUCUCUUCCUCUAUAUUGCAGAUAAUUUUUAAGAGUUUCCCGUAGGUCAGCACAAAUCAGUCCUGCUGUUUUCUGGCAUUGCUGUAGCCACAUGAGGUUAAAUAAUGCUGAUAUAUUAAAUGAGAUAAACCCCAAAGAGUAUUCUAUGAGUUUUCUAUGCAUGGGUGUUUCCGUAUCCAAAUACAUAUGAAUUCUGUAAUUACUGAAGAGUAUUUUCAUACUAUUUUUAGGGCAUUGCAAACUGUUAAUUGUAGUAUAAAACAUACUACACACAACUGCACACUUCUUUCUUCUUCAAAGUGAUCUGUGCCUGACAGGAUCAGUGCAAACUGUAUUUUAAGGUUCUGCUCCAAGAUGGAGUAAACAGUAUUACUUCUGAGGUAGCUCCAGGAUGCUAUGCUUUUCUUUAAUUCUUAUUUUUAAAGGCCGAGGUCGCUUUCCUUAACACUGCCAGAAAGGGAGCUGUCUUUGAGCUUGGCUGCAUAUCAUGGCAGGUAUUGUUUGCAGUCCGUAGAAACAGUUGUAGUGUGCAGCUCCAUCUGUGGUGGCUGAUAAGGAUAAGCAGCCGUGUGCUGUGCUUGGCUUUUUGAGUACUUCUGAUAAAUCCAGCAAUCGGGCCAAUCAGGUUUACUAAUGUGAAUAGUUGUUAUCUGAGUAGCUAACAAGUGGGUAAAACUCCAACUUUUUCUCUUCUGAGCUCAGGUGUAGCAAUGAUUUUUAUAGUUUUUAAACUUUUCUUUGAAAAAAAAGCGGUAAGAUUUCUACAGCUAAUGUAUAAUUUCAGUGGUACUUAAAUAGCAGACAUACUUAAUCUAGCCAAGCAGCUGAAAUUUCUGCCUGCCUGAAACUGCUGUUUAUGAACUGUUUUUUAUAUUUGAAUCUUUCUAAAAAGUGAAGUAAGAUCUUCCAUCACUGCCUUUUCUAGGGAGCUCCAGUUUGCUUUGCAAAAGCAAUUAUUCCCAAUUUUCCAUGACUCAUGCAGUCUUCACCUCUGAAGUGAAAAUGAUAACCUUUUAUAUAUUUAGAUGCCCAGAAGCACAAAGUCCCAUUUUGUCAAAUAGUUUGUAUAGAACUUGAAUGGAAAAGCACACACUCCUAAGUUCUUGUCUGGCCUUUUCUAAACAGCAUGCAGAAAUGAGGUGGCACCUUACUUGUGUUGCCAGAAACAAAAAACAGUCCACAGCACCUUAUUUCUAAAUCUUUUGCUAUGUUUUUGUGAAUCAGUUGUCAGGCUGAAGGGGGCUCUGAGCAACAUAUCCAGCUGUAGAUGUCCCUGUUCUUUGCAGGGCACGUGGUCUAGAUGGUCCUUAAAGGUCCCUUCCAACUUGAAUUAUUCUAUGACUCUAGAUAUUCCAGAAGAACUUAUGCACUUACAUCACUAAAUAGUUUGUGAACUCCCGUCCUAUUCUUCAGUUGCCACAAAUGUACUUUGUUCUAUUACUGCAGCAUUUGCCUACUUUUAAGCUAUCAGUCUAGUUAAAUCUCUGUUAAGUGCUCUGAGCAAAGUGUGCUUCAGGUACUGUCCGCUUUGCCAAGGAGAGCAAACUCUGUGAAGUUGGUGUUUUCACAUACAAGCUUAGUAGGGUAAGAUAAUCUGCAAUAGCAAUACGAACCAGUACUUGAACCAUGAAACCUCAAGUGUAUCCAAACCAGACCCUGGUUAUACAUGUAACUCUGUGUGUGUGUGUGUGUGUGUGUGUGUGUGUGUGUGUGUGUGUGUGUGUGUGUGUGUGUGUUGGUUUUAUUUUGCCUUUGUUUUUUAUCGUGGGAACAAAAGCAGAUUGUCUGUGCUUAUAGUGCUGUCUGGUCACUACCUGUGGAAUUACUUCAGGCUAUGUCUUAUUCUUUGAAAUAACAUGUAUCUAUUGAGAUUUCAUCAGGGUAAAGCGUUGUGGAUGAUUCUUAGGCAAUAAAUAUUUUCAUGUAUAUUUUCUUCAUUGGAAAAAUCAAGUUUAUGGUACUUGUGAUUAGCUGUCUUUCAGUUAAAAAAGGCUUCCCAAGUCUGGGAGUGAUCUGAUCUGGCAGUGUGCCUGAUGUCAAUGAAGGUCUCUUUCUCCUUCACGUUUCUUGUGAUGGCCUUGCAGUCAGGGGGUGUGUGGUGAGACACAACAAGUGAGACCACCAUUCUCAGACUGAAGUUUGUCUAAAAAAAAAAAUCAUUCAGCUACCGGUAGAAAACUUUGGGGACAAAAGGUUGAUAUUUGUUGUGCUCAACAGGCCACAGUUUAUUUUCUGGUACUGCAUUGUUGGAGUUCCUAUUUUAGGAGUAAAAGUACUUUUGAAUUUGCAGAGCUUUAUAUUUGGUAGCAAAAAUGACUUGCUCUUGGUACAGAAAUCUUAUUGUUCUGUUUUAUGUACUGUCAUUAGCCAAGGCUAUAAUAAAAAUGCUAAAAUAAAAAUAAAUUUUC